GUGAUGGAACACCCACAACUUCUGGAGGCAAAAAUAGUAUGGCUUUCUGGCCUCCAUCUGAAUUGAUCGGCAUAGGAUUCCAGAGAAUCAAGAAGAUCUGAGCAAGGUCAGAUUCCAGACACUUCAACAGAUGGUUUUAGCCAGAAAUAAAUAGCUAGAACUUCAGACAAGCAACUACAUGCUGGAAUCGUUGCCACUGAAAAGGCAAGUCAAACCUGGCUGCAUUUUUAUUAAUCCAU